CUUUAAGUUUGAAGAUCCAACGCAAACCAGAUCAACUCCAUAAACUGAAAUCACAGCAGAAGGGAUGGUGAUGACACGGCCCUGAACAGCUUCGCAAGGGUGAGGAAAGAAUCUCAGUUGAGCUCUACCAUCAGCCACACGUCAUCUCAUGUAAUCCUUACAACAACCCCACCCUCCGGAUGAGGAAGAAUGAUGUCAGUCUACUGCAUGCUACAAUGUACAGUUGACCCUUGGACAGCAUGAGUUUCAACUGCUCAGGUCCACUUCCACGUGGAUUUGCUUCUGCCUCUGCCACCGCUGAGACAGCAAGACCAAGCCCUCCUCUUCCUCCUCCU